rfam:Heterocephalus glaber contig185448, whole genome shotgun sequence.
GGAUGUGAGGGCAAUCUGGCUGCGACAUCUGUCACCCUAUUGAUCGCCAGGGUUGAUUCGGCUGAUCUGGCUGGCUAGGCGGGUGUCCCCUUCCUCCCUCACCGCUCCAUGUGUGGACCACCACCCCCCAUAGAGGAGGACCAUUUCCUCAUCAAGGGUAUAUGGGUAGCUGCGCUCCCCUGCUAGAACCUCCAAACAAGCUCUCAAAAAAGCAAACACAAAAGAUUGUUAUAAGUUCAAAAAGUUUAAAUGCUUCCAUUUUGCUUAAUUCAAUUAAGAACCUGU